GUGACAAGAAAUAACAAUACAGGACUUUAACAGUUUUGUAAUUGGAAUGAGUUGAGUAUAAACCCCUUUACAAGUAUCAAUUGGAGGGCAAGUCUGGUGCCAGCAGCCGCGGUAAUUCCAGCUCCAAUAGCGUAUAUUAAAGUUGUUGCAGUUAAAAAGCUCGUAGUUGGAUUUCUGUUAAUAAUUUAUAUAUAAUAUUUAACAUAUUUAUAUAAUAUUAACAUAAUUCAUAUUACUAUUUAUAGUAUAUGAAAUUUUACUUUGAGAAAAUUAGAGUGCUUAAAGCAGGCUUUUGCCUUGAAUACUAGAGCAUGGAAUAAUAUUAAAGAUUUUUAUCUUUCUUAUUGGUUCUAAGAUAGAAAUAAUGAUUAAUAGGGACAGUUGGGGGCAUUUGUAUUUAACAGUUAGAGGUGAAAUUCUUAGAUUUGUUAAAGACAAACUAAUGCGAAA
rnacentral:rRNA from 1 species